UCAAGUUAUUAAGGGUGCAGGGCGGAUGCCUUGGCACUAGGAGCCGAUGAAGGACGUGAUAAGCUGCGAUAAGCUUCGGGGAGUUGCACGUAAACUUUGAUCCGAAGAUUUCCGAAUGAGGAAACUCACUUAGAGUAAUGUCUAAGUAUCAUUAAGUGAAUACAUAGCUUAAUGAGGGGAACUCAGGGAACUGAAACAUCUAAGUACCUGAAGGAAGAGAAAGAAAUUCGAUUCCGUAAGUAGCGGCGAGCGAACGCGGAUUAGCCCAAACCAAUAAAGUUUUCUUUAUUGGGGUUGCGGACAUAUCAUAACGAAGAGGUAUCGUAAUUGAAGAGGUUUGGAAAGACCCACCACAGAAGGUAAUAGUCCUGUAUGUUAAACGAGAAGACUUCAGAUAUGAUCCAGAGUACCACGGGACACGUGAAACCCUGUGGGAAGCAGGAGGGACCACCCUCCAAGGCUAAAUACUACCUAGUGACCGAUAGCGUAUAGUACCGUGAGGGAAAGGUGAAAAGAACCCCGGGAGGGGAGUGAAAUAGAACCUGAAACCCUGCACUUACAAGCUGUGGAAGCACAUUUCUUGUGUGACCGCGUACUUUUUGUAGAACGGGCCAACGAGUUACGUUAAGUAGCAAGGUUAAGCACUUAAGGUGCGGAGCCGUAGCGAAAGCGAGUUUUAACUGAGCGUUCAGUUACUUGACGUAGACCCGAAACCGGGCGACCUACCCAUGAGCAGGAUGAAGCGAAAGUAAAAUUUCGUGGAGGUCCGAACCCACGAGCGUUGAAAAGCUCGGGGAUGACUUGUGGGUAGCGGUGAAAUUCCAAUCGAGCCCGGAGAUAGCUGGUUCUCCCCGAAAUAGCUUUAGGGCUAGCCUCAAGGUGAGAGAUACGGAGGUAGAGCACUGAAUGUCCUAGGGGGUAUUGCACCUACCGAAGACUAUCAAACUCCGAAUGCCGUCAUCUUAUACUUGGGAGUCAGACUGUGGGUGAUAAGAUUCAUAGUCGAAAGGGCAACAGCCCAGAUCGUCAGCUAAGGUCCCUAAAUGUAAGUUAAGUGGUAAAGGAUGUGGGAUUGCACAGACAACCAGGAUGUUGGCUUAGAAGCAGCCACUCAUUCAAAGAGUGCGUAAUAGCUCACUGGUCGAGUGAUCCUGCGCCGAAGAUUUCCGGGGCUAAAACUUACUACCGAAGCUACGGCAUCAGUAAUGAUGGGUAGGGGAGCUUCCCAUACGGGUUGAAGCAUGACCGUAAGGACAUGUGGACAGUAUGGGAGUGAGAAUGUUGGCAUGAGUAGCGAGAUGUGGGUGAGAAUCCCACAGGCCGUAAACCCAAGGUUUCCAGGGGAAGGUUCGUCCGCCCUGGGUUAGUCGGGACCUAAGCUGAGGCCGAAAGGCGUAGGUGAUGGACAACAGGUUGAUAUUCCUGUACUACCGAUAACCGUUUGAGAGAAGGGAUGACACAGUAGGAUAAGCUAAGCACACUGUUGGUUAUGUGUGCCCAAGCAUUGAGGCAGUCAAAGUAGGCAAAUCCGCUUUGAUAAUGCUGGGAUGUGAUGGGGAGCGAAAUUUAGUAGCGAAGUAGCUGAUUUCACACUGUCAAGAAAAGUCUCUAUCGAGGUUAAAGGUACCCGUACCGCAAACCGACACAGGUGGGUGAGGAGAGUAUCCUAAGGCCAGCGAGAGAACUGUUGUUAAGGAACUCGGCAAAAUGACCCCGUAACUUAGGGAUAAGGGGUGCCACCAUCAGGUGGCCGCAGAGAAUAGGCCCAAGCGACUGUUUACCAAAAACAUAGGUUUCUGCUAAGUCGCAAGACGAUGUAUAGGAGCUGACGCCUGCCCGGUGCUGGAAGGUUAAGGGGAUCUGUUAGAGCAAUCGAAGCAGUGAACUUAAGCCCCAGUAAACGGCGGCCGUAACUAUAACGGUCCUAAGGUAGCGAAAUUCCUUGUCGGGUAAGUUCCGACCCGCACGAAAGGCGUAACGAUUUGGGCACUGUCUCAACAACAGACUCGGUGAAAUUGUAAUUCCGGUGAAGAUGCCGGAUACCUGCGACAGGACGGAAAGACCCCAUGGAGCUUUACUGUAGCUUGACAUUGGGUCUUGGUACUACAUGUACAGGAUAGGUGGGAGGCUUUGAAACCAGGACGCCAGUUUUGGCGGAGCCAUCCUUGGGAUACCACCCUUGUAGUACUGGGACUCUAACCAUAGGCCAUGAAUCUGGUCUUGGGACACUGUCAGGUGGGCAGUUUGACUGGGGCGGUCGCCUCCCAAAAGGUAACGGAGGCGCUCAAAGGUUCUCUCAGUACGGUCGGAAAUCGUACGUAGAGUGUAAAGGCAAAAGAGAGCUUGAUUGCAAGACAUACAGGUCGAGCAAGGAUGAAAAUCGGACUUAGUGAUCCGGUGGUUCUGCGUGGAAGGGCCAUCGCUCAACGGAUAAAAGCUACCCUGGGGAUAACAGGCUUAUCUCCCCCAAGAGUCCACAUCGACGGGGAGGUUUGGCACCUCGAUGUCGGCUCAUCACAUCCUGGGGCUGUAGUAGGUCCCAAGGGUUGGGCUGUUCGCCCAUUAAAGUGGUACGCGAGCUGGGUUCAGAACGUCGUGAGACAGUUCGGUCCCUAUCCGUCGCAGGCGUAGGAAAUUUGAGAAGACCUGUCCUUAGUACGAGAGGACCGGGAUGGACGUACCUCUGGUGUACCAGUUGUCCUGCCAAGGGCAUGGCUGGGUAGCUAUGUACGGAAUGGAUAAGCGCUGAAAGCAUCUAAGCGCGAAGCCAACUUCAAGAUAAGAUUUCCCACCGCAAGGGUAAGACCCCAGAAAGACUAUCUGGUUGAUAGGUCGAAGGUGUAAGUGCAGCAAUGUAUUUAGCUUAUCGAUACUAAUAGGUCGAGG
rnacentral:rRNA from 1 species